ACAACAUGUGAUCUUCAUUUGAGUCUUCUUCGAGACUCACAUGUGCCUUCUCUUUCUUCUUUGAGUAGCACUGAUUUGCAAAGUGGCCUAACUUGCCACAAUUGUAACACUCCUUGUUACUUAUGUGAUCCUUCUUUGAAUCAUCCUUCUUCUGUUUCCUCAGACACUCGCUCUCAUUGUGGUUGUUCCUCUAGCAGAAACCGCACCACUUCUUGCCUCCCUGGCGCUUUGAGUUGUCUUGUGUAACACCAGAAUUUUUGUGUUUAACACGAGCAUCGAAUGCUCCUUCACUGGUGCUUUCUUCUCUUGCAGCCAGCCUUGCUUCAUGAGCCUUCAAGAUCCCGAUCAAUUCUGUCAUCUUUGUUGAAGUCAAAUCGCUUGUUUGCUCCAACACACUGACUAUGCUAUCGAACUUGGCUGGGAGAGAGAUGAGUAUCUUCUGUAUAAGUUGAACAUCCGACUUCUGUUCACCAUGAUA
rnacentral:lncRNA from 1 species